AACGGCGAGUGAAGCGGCAAGAGCUCAAAUUUGAAAUCUGGCCCCCUCGGGGUCCGAGUUGUAAUUUGUAGAGGAUGCUUCGGGUGCGGCCGCGGUCUAAGUCCCCUGGAACGGGGCGUCGUAGAGGGUGAGAAUCCCGUCUUUGACCGGCCGGUCACGCCCGUGUGAAGCUCCUUCGACGAGUCGAGUUGUUUGGGAAUGCAGCUCUAAAUGGGUGGUAAAUUUCAUCUAAAGCUAAAUACUGGUCGGAGACCGAUAGCGCACAAGUAGAGUGAUCGAAAGAUGAAAAGCACUUUGAAAAGAGAGUUAAACAGCAUGUGAAAUUGUUGAAAGGGAAGCGCUUGCGAUCAGAGUCGUCUGCGGGGGCUCAGCGGGCAUUCUUUGCCCGUGCACUCCCCCGCGGUCGGGCCAGCGUCGGUUUUGACGGCCGGUCAAAGGCCCCCGGAAUGUGUCGCCUCUCGGGGCGUCUUAUAGCCGGGGGUGCAAUGCGGCCUGUCGGGACCGAGGAACGCGCUCCGGCACGGACGCUGGCUUAAUGGUCGUAAGCGACCCGUCUUGAAACACGGACCAA
rnacentral:rRNA from 1 species